ACGGGUGAGUAACGCGUGGGAAUGUACCUUUUGGUUCGGAAUAACGAUGGGAAACUGUCAGUAAUACCGGAUACGCCCUUCGGGGGAAAGAUUUAUCGCCAAAAGAGCAGCCCGCGUUAGAUUAGGUAGUUGGUAGGGUAAAAGCCUACCAAGCCGACGAUCUAUAGCUGGUCUGAGAGGAUGAUCAGCCACACUGGGACUGAGACACGGCCCAGACUCCUACGGGAGGCAGCAGUGGGGAAUAUUGGACAAUGGGGGAAACCCUGAUCCAGCAGUGCCGCGUGAGUGAUGAAGGCCUUCGGGUUGUAAAGCUCUUUUGUCAGGGACGAUGACGACGGUACCUGACGAAUAAGCUCCGGCUAACUUCGUGCCAGCAGCCGCGGUAAUACGAAGGGAGCUAGCGUUGUUCGGAAUUACUGGGCGUAAAGGGCGCGUAGGCGGUAUCAUAAGUCAGAUGUGAAAGCCCUGGGCUUAACCUAGGAGGUGCAUUUGAUACUGUGAAACUAGAGAUCGAGAGAGGAAAGUGGAAUUACGAGU
rnacentral:rRNA from 1 species